rnacentral:piRNA from 1 species
UUUUACAUGUGUGCUAGGAGGUUGAGU